UACGGAGGGUGCAAACGUUAUCCGGAAUCACUGGGCGUAAAGAGCAUGUAGGUGGUUUGAUAAGUGGACGAUUAAAGACCGAUGCUUAACAUCGGGACUGUUUUCCAUACUGUUUGACUAGAGGAUGGUAGGGGUACGUGGAACUUUAGGUGUAGGAGUGAAAUCCGUAGAUAUCUAAAGGAACACCAAUGGCGAAGGCAGCGUACUGGACCAUAUCUGACACUGAGAUGCGAAAGCGUGGGGAGCGAACGGG
rnacentral:rRNA from 1 species